UACGGGGGGGGCAAGCGUUGUUCGGAAUUACUGGGCGUAAAGGGCUCGUAGGCGGCCAACUAAGUCAGACGUGAAAUCCCUCAGCUUAACUGGGGAACUGCGUCUGAUACUGGAUGGCUUGGAUCCGGGAGAGGGAUGUGGAAUUCCUGGUGUAGCGGUGAAAUGCGCAGAUAUCAGGAAGAACACCCGUGGCGAAGGCGGCUCUCUGGGACGGUACUGACGCUGAGACGCGAAAGCGUGGGGAGCGAACAGG
rnacentral:rRNA from 1 species